CUACGGGAGGCACCAGUGGGGAAUAUUGGACAAUGGGGGAAACCCUGAUCCAGCAAUGCCGCGUGUGUGAAGAAGGCCUGCGGGUUGUAAAGCACUUUCGGUUGGGAGGACUGCUUCUAGCACUAAUAUUGUUGGAAGUUGACGUUACCUUCAGAAGAAGCACCGGCUAACUCCGUGCCAGCAGCCGCGGUAAUACGGAGGGUGCAAGCGUUAAUCGGAAUUACUGGGCGUAAAGCGCGCGUAGGCGGCUAGAUCAGUCGGGUGUGAAAGCCCCGGGCUUAACCUGGGAACUGCAUCCGAUACUGUCUAGCUUGAGUACAGGAGAGGAGAGUGGAAUUCCACAUGUAGCGGUGAAAUGCGUAGAUAUGUGGAGGAACACCAAUGGCGAAGGCAGCUCUCUGGCCUGAUACUGACGCUGAGGUGCGAAGGCGUGGGAAGCAAACAGGAUUAGAUACCCCUGUAGUC
rnacentral:rRNA from 1 species